rnacentral:rRNA from 1 species
UACGUAGGGUCCGAGCGUUGUCCGGAAUUAUUGGGCGUAAAGAGCUCGUAGGCGGUCUGUCGCGUCGGCUGUGAAAACACGGGGCUCAACUCCGUGCCUGCAGUCGAUACGGGCAGACUAGAGUUCGGUAGGGGAGACUGGAAUUCCUGGUGUAGCGGUGAAAUGCGCAGAUAUCAGGAGGAACACCGGUGGCGAAGGCGGGUCUCUGGGCCGUAACUGACGCUGAGGAGCGAAAGCGUGGGGAGCGAACAGG